UUAGAAUGCUACGAAUUUCAUUAUGAUCAUAUGUAGACUUAUUUUUAAGAGCACUCUUGUUUCUUUUCAAGAAUAUGAAAUAGUCAUAUGAAUCCUUUAAAUUCUAAGUUUAUUUAUCAAUCUAUGCAUGUAUGUUUAAUCGUAAAACAAACAUGUUUAAGGCAUUUUUGAGUUAAUUAACUAAUUUAACAUAUGUGAAUUUAUUUGUCAUUCCUAAAUACGAUUUUCACCAAUAGUUUGAAUCAAACUUAUUGUUAACAAGUGUUAUCAUCAAAAUUAAAUAUGUCAUUAUUUCAACAAAUGGUUCAUUAACUAAUUCUUUGUAUGUUGAAAUAAUCAUCAACCUAAUCUUAAAAGGGGUUUACGAAUGAAUCAAAAUUUCAUACAACAACAAACCAAAUUUGAGCUUAGCUCAAGAGAUUGUACAUAAAUUGGCAAAAACAUAAAGAAUUACUGAAAUGAUGUGGUAAUUCACAAUUUUUAAGAAUGUGGUGUUACGUAACUAGAAUUAAACUAUUAAAUAUAGUCAAGGAACUUGAUUGUAUGCGCCUGAUUGACUUUUAAUAUGAUCCACAAUUAACCGAGGUUAAAUCUACACUAUAUUUUAUCCUCUCUCCUUUUCAAAAUGACUUUCUAAUAUUUCUUUUCUUUGCUCAUUAAAAUGGCACAUAGACCUAUUAAAAUACGACACGCAAUGGUGAAUAUUUUAUUUUGGAAGAAGGGGCUCAAAAUCACAUUGUUAGUUCUUCAUUAAAAUCGUGGAAAAAAGUUUUAUUUGCACAGUAUAACCCAGCUACUCCUGGUGACUCUACACAAAAUCUUCCCAGCUAGCUCAAAAAUUAUCAUGCCCUUGGCACUAUCAAUUUAAUAUAAUUUGAACUACUUCAUUUUCAAUUAGGAAAGUUUCUUAAUUAGUUGUCUAUAAUAGGUCAUGUUGACUAUAUUGAUUUUCUCAUUAUUCUACUUUAUUUAGUUUUUCUUGUUUAGAAUAUAGGCUGUAAUAUAUAUUAAGAGGACAAUGAUUAAUAAAAUUAAGCCUUUACAUAUUUCUUUUUGGUAUCAGAACCAACUAAACCCUAGCCUCCAACACUGCCUUCACAAUAGCCUAAACCCUAACCCACUAGCCACCAGCCAUAGGCCAACAACAGUCCUGCCUCUAUGCAUUCCCUGUGCAACCCAGUCCAACCAACAAUCACCAGACUCAACACUUGUAACAUCCUCUUCCCUUGUGCAGCCACCACUGCAGUCACCAGCAGCCCAACCCAACCCUCACACACAGAGCCCUUGCACAACAAGUCAUCUCGUGCAUAACCAUGCUUUGUACAGUCCAUCCUUGCGCCGUCUAGCACCGUUCAGGCCUUGCACAGGCAAGCUCUUGCACAGUCGCGCAGUCUAGCUUCGUUCAAGCCUCACACAGGCCAACGCAUACACCAUCAAGCAGUCCUGUAGGCCAGCCCAUGUGCCAUCCAGUAGCAUCAUAGUCCAGCAUAGCCGCAUAUUCCAGCAACCCCUACAUCGUCUAGUAGUCCUAUAGGCCAUCCCCUGCACUGUCUAGUACAUUUAGCAGCCGCGCAAUCUAGCACAGCCACACAGUCUAGCAACCAGUAGCCCCAUAAUCCAACAACCAGUAGUCAGUAGUCUAGCGCAGCCAUCAGUUGCACAGUGCAAUUCAGCCUCCAGUCAUUGCGUAGUCUAGUGUAGCCAGCAGUAGCUGCUCGUGCAGUCCAUAUAUCGUGAAGUCUAUAUGUCUGAUAGUAUGACACUUUAAAAAAAAUAUAUUCUCCUUUGAUUUCCUAAGAUUGAUUCUUGGUGUUACGUUGAUAGUUAACCCAGUCAAGGAGGUUGCCCCAGCCCAUAUGGUUUUGUGCCCAACUCCUAUCUACCUAUCUUUUAGUCCCACGGACGCUAUAGUUGCAGGUACUCUUAUCGCUUUUCAUGAUAAGUCAAGUCACCCCACUUGAAUUCUGAAUUUUGGAGCUAAUAAUAACAUGACUGGUGAGCUUUCUACUUUUACCUCUUCUAUUAGUUUCAUAAAUCAAUCUGUUUGUAUUGCUGAUGGACCAUCUAUUCCCAUUUAUAGUCAGGGUGAUGCCCACUUUUCCACAGAUAUUACUCUUUCCUCAAUUUAUUAUGCUCUGAAUUUUGCCUAUAAUUUUCUUUCUGUUAGUUGUCUUGCAAAAAACCUUAAUUGUGCCGUUGUAGUCUUACCAUCUCGUUGUUUCUUGCAGGACUUGAUUUCGAAGAAGAUUCUUGGCAGGGGAUAUGAGAGUGAUGAACUGUACUACUUUGGGGAUCCGCCAACAUCUAUUGCUUUGUCCUUCAAUCUUCAAGCCUCUACUCUACCAGUCUUAGAGCCCUCCAUUUUAAGUUAGUCUAUAUUAAAUUCGUUUGUUUGUUCUAUUAAAACUUUAAAUUAGUGGCAUGCUCAUUUAGGGUAUGCAAUUUUUUUGUAUUUAUGUUGCCUUUUCUCCCAUCUUAAAAAGGCAUGCCAGAAAGUUAC
rnacentral:lncRNA from 1 species